rnacentral:lncRNA from 1 species
AUCCACACAUAUGUUGUUUGAUGAAAUUUCCAACCCCCCAUGGCAAUGGUUACAUCAGAGGAUAUCAACUUAGUGCACGAUCAUGUUACAACACUUCGGUCAAGCAACAACACCUACCUGUGCAUAAGGAAACCCUUUCUAUACAUGACCAAGUCAUAAAGAUGAAGCCAACUUGGAUCUUCAUGGUGGCAAUAGUCAACCCGACGAUCCUCGAGAUGACUCUUUCACCCAGCAAACACAACCCGCUGAAGAGUUGGAGAAGGUCUCUAUCUCAAAAAAUUAUCCGGAUCGCAUGGUGAAGAUUGGCACCACCUUGUCACCACCCAUUUGGUUGGCAUUGAUCUCUUUUUUGCAAGAGAACACUGAGGUCUUCGCCUGGUCAUACGAGGACAUGCUAGGCAUCUCUCCCGAUAUCAUCUGUGAUCGCUUAAGUAUUGACCCCAAGACCAAGCCAGUGAGACAGAAACGAAGAUCUUAUGACGUUGAAUGGUACGAGGCAAUGAAGGCAGAAGUUGAAAAAUUCAAAGGCAUAGGCUUCGUCUACGAAGUCAAUUACCCAACAUGGGUA